CGGAGGGUGCGAGCGUUAUCCGGAACUACUGGGUUUAAAGGGUGCGUAGGCGGCCAUGUAAGUCAGGAGUGAAAGUUUGCGGCUCACCGUAAAAUUGCUUUUGAUACUGCAUGGCUGGAAUCAGGAUGAGGUCAGCGGAAUGUGGCAUGUAGCGGUGAAAUGCAUAGAUAUGCCAUAGAACACCAAUUGCGAAGGCAGCUGGCUAGACCUGUAUUGACGCUGAGGCACGAAAGCGUGGGGAGCGAACAGGAUUAGAUACCCUGGUAGUCCACGCCCUAAACGAUGCUUUACUCGACGUAUGAAGCUGGUCCUUGUGCGUCCAAGGGAAACCGUUAAGUAAGCCACCUGGGGAGUACGACCGCAAGGUUG
rnacentral:rRNA from 1 species